GGACUCGAGUGGCGAACGGGUGAGUAACACGUGGGUGAUCUGCCCUGCACUUCGGGAUAAGCUUGGGAAACUGGGUCUAAUACCGGAUAGGACCAUCGUUUAGUGUCGGUGGUGGAAAGUUUUUUCGGUGUGGGAUGAGCUCGCGGCCUAUCAGCUUGUUGGUGGGGUAAUGGCCUACCAAGGCGUCGACGGGUAGCCGGCCUGAGAGGGUGUACGGCCACAUUGGGACUGAGAUACGGCCCAG
rnacentral:rRNA from 1 species